ACUUUCAACAACGGAUCUCUUGGCUCUCGCAUCGAUGAAGAACGCAGCGAAAUGCGAUAAGUAGUGUGAAUUGCAUAUUUUGUGAAUCAUCGAAUCUUUGAACGCAAAUUGCACUCCCUGGUAUUCCGGGGAGUAUGCCUGUUUGAGGGUCGUU
rnacentral:rRNA from 1 species